rnacentral:rRNA from 1 species
AUUGAACGCUGGCGGCAGGCCUAACACAUGCAAGUCGAGCGGAUGAAGGGAGCUUGCUCCUGGAUUCAGCGGCGGACGGGUGAGGAAUGCCUAGGAAUCUGCCUGGUAGUGGGGGAUAACGUCCGGAAACGGGCGCUAAUACCGCAUACGUCCUGAGGGAGAAAGUGGGGGAUCUUCGGACCUCACGCUAUCAGAUGAGCCUAGGUCGGAUUAGCUAGUUGGUGGGGUAAAGGCCUACCAAGGCGACGAUCCGUAACUGGUCUGAGAGGAUGAUCAGUCACACUGGAACUGAGACACGGUCCAGACUCCUACGGGAGGAAGCAGUGGGGAAUAUUGGACAAUGGGAGAAAGCCUGAUCCAGCCAUGCCGCGUGUGUGAAGAAGGUCUUCGGAUUGUAAAGCACUUUAAGUUGGGAGGAAGGGCAGUAAGUUAAUACCUUGCUGUUUUGACGUUACCAACAGAAUAAGCACCGGCUAACUUCGUG